CAGGCGCGCAAAUUACCCACUCCCAGCACGGGGAGGUAGUGACGAAAAAUAACGAUACGGGACUCAUCCGAGGCCCCGUAAUCGGAAUGAGUACAAUUUAAAACUUUUCCCGAGGAUCAAUUGGAGGGUAAGUCUGGUGCCAGCAGCCGCGGUAAUUCCAGCUCCAAUAGCGUAUAUUAAAGUUGUUGCGGUUAAAAAGCUCGUAGUCGAAUCUGUGUCCCGCGCCGCUGGUUCAUCGCUCGCGGUGUUCAACUGGCGUGUCUCGCGGGACGUCCUGCCGGUGGGCGCUCGUAUCGUUUCGGCGGUGCGUGGCCCAACUCGUAGCCGUCUCGCGCGGUUGCGAAUCCCAUCGCGGUGCUCUUUAUUGAGUGUCGAGGUGGGCCGGCACGUUUACUUUGAACAAAUUAGAGUGCUUAAAGCAGGCCAAUUUUGCCUGAAUAUUGUGUGCAUGGAAUAAUGAAAUAGGACCUCGGUUCUAUUUUGUUGGUUUUCGGAACCCCGAGGUAAUGAUUAAUAGGAACGGAUGGGGGCAUUCGUAUUGCGACGUUAGAGGUGAAAUUCUUGGAUCGUCGCAAGACGGACAGAAGCGAAAGCAUUUGCCAAAAACGCUUUCAUUGAUCAAGAACGAAAGUUAGAGGUUCGAAGGCGAUCAGAUACCGCCCUAGUUCUAACCAUAAACGAUGCCAGCUAGCGAUCCGCCGACGUUCCUCCGAUGACUCGGCGGGCAGCUUCCGGGAAACCAAAGCUUUUGGGUUCCGGGGGAAGUAUGGUUGCAAAGCUGAAACUUAAAGGAAUUGACGGAAGGGCACCACCAGGAGUGGAGCCUGCGGCUUAAUUUGACUCAACACGGGACACCUCACCAGGCCCGGACACCGGAAGGAUUGACAGAUUGAUAGCUCUUUCUUGAUUCGGUGGGUGGUGGUGCA
rnacentral:rRNA from 2 species